AUUGAACGCUGGCGGCAGGCCUAACACAUGCAAGUCGAGCGAGCGGCGGACGGGUGAGUAAUGUAUGGGGACUGCCCGAUAGAGGGGGAUAACUACUGGAAACGGUGGCUAAUACCGCAUACUAACGGAUAACACAUAUGGGGUUAGCUAGUAGGGGGGGUAAAGGCUCACCUAGGAGACGAUCUCAAGCUGGUCUGCGAGGAUGCUCAGCCACACUGGGACUGAGACACGGCCCAGACUCCUACGGAGGCAGCAGUGGUUAAUAUUGCACAAUGGGCGCAAGCCUGAUGCAGCCAUGCCGCGUGUAUGAAGAAGGCCUUAGGGUUGUAAAGUACUUUCAGCGGGGAGGCGUUACCCGCAGAAGAAGCACCGGCUAACUCCGUGCCAGCAGCCGCGGUAAUUC
rnacentral:rRNA from 1 species